rnacentral:rRNA from 1 species
UAAGACGAACCGUCCAAACGUUAUUCGGAAUCACUGGGCUUAAAGGGUGCGUAGGCGGCGCGGAAAGUUGGGUGUGAAAUCCCUCGGCUCAACCGAGGAACUGCGCCCAAAACUACCGUGCUCGAGGGAGAUAGAGGUGAGCGGAACUUAGGGUGGAGCGGUGAAAUGCGUUGAUAUCCUAAGGAACACCGGUGGCGAAAGCGGCUCACUGGAUCUCUUCUGACGCUGAGGCACGAAAGCUAGGGUAGCGAACGGG